CCUACGGGUGGCAGCAGUGAGGAAUAUUGGUCAAUGGCCGGAAGGCUGAACCAGCCAAGUCGCGUGAGGGAAGAAUGUCCUAUGGGUUGUAAACCUCUUUUGUCAGGGAGCAAAGUCACCCACGUGUGGGGGUUGGAGAGUACCUGAAGAAAAAGCAUCGGCUAACUCCGUGCCAGCAGCCGCGGUAAUACGGAGGAUCCGAGCGUUAUCCGGAUUUAUUGGGUUUAAAGGGUGCGUAGGCGGGUUGUAAAGUCAGCGGUAAAAUCGUGGAGCUCAACCCCAUCCAGCCGUUGAAACUGGUGAUCUUGAGUGGAGGAGAGGUAGGCGGAAUGCGUGGUGUAGCGGUGAAAUGCAUAGAUAUCACGCAGAACUCCGAUUGCGAAGGCAGCAUACCGGCGUCUGACUGACGUUGAAGCACGAAAGCGUGGGUAGCGAACAGGAUUAGAUACCCUAGUAGUC
rnacentral:rRNA from 1 species